rnacentral:rRNA from 1 species
UAACCGUAUAGGGGAGCCGUAGGGAAACCGAGUCUUAACCGGGCGUUAAGUUGCAGGGUAUAGACCCGAAACCCGGUGAUCUAGCCAUGGGCAGGUUGAAGGUUGGGUAACACUAACUGGAGGACCGAACCGACUAAUGUUGAAAAAUUAGCGGAUGACCUGUGGCUGGGGGUGAAAGGCCAAUCAAACCGGGAGAUAGCUGGUUCUCCCCGAAAGCUAUUUAGGUAGCGCCUCGUGAAUUCAUCUCCGGGGGUAGAGCA